GGGAGGAGAGAAACAGACACGAGCCGAGCGGUGAAGGCGGGAGGAAGCGGCUUUUUCUCCCGUCAAACUCAAACCAACUGAACGCAAAAGGGUAAAAAUGAGAAAGUGUUAAAGACAGCCAAUCAGACGGCUGGAUUCUUUCAUCUCUGCCUCCACCCUUAGAGGCAGCGGUGAGACGAUGGUGACAACUUGUUCUUCUAGGAAAGUGUUGCUCCAGCACUCAGCGGCGCCGGAGUGCCGGCUGUGACCCCCCGACACUGAAAACCACAGAGACCGAGGCUCCGCUGCCGACGCUUCGCCUGCCUCUGCAGGAUCGUUCUUCUGGAACGCAGCGAUCUUCUGCUGAGGGUGAUGCUGGCCUGUGGAUGACGAUGGCUGAUGACCUCUACAGCAGCACCUUCUCCGUUUCCGAGUCGGACCUCUCCUCCUCCUCUUCGUCCUCAGCGACCGCUCCUUUUCUCACGGUUGAGCAGAGGGCGGCUUUCGUCUUCGUCCUCAUCCUCUUCAUUUUCCUGGGCCUUCUGAUCGUUCGCUGUUUCCGGAUCCUUCUGGACCCGUAUCGCAGCAUGCCGUCCUCCACCUGGACAGACUACAUGGAGAAGGACACCUUCGAUUACCGAAUUUCCUGACAGGCAGCUUGAGAGGCAGCAACCCUGACUAAUUAACUGUUAAACUGAGGCAACUAUCACACAGAUAACCUAAAGCAAAAAGCACAAGUGCACGUUUCCUUCUCCGCUUUCCACUUCUCAUUUAUUCUUAAACAUGUUUUCUUCCAAACCCACUUGAAGUUUGGGUUUGUGACCCCAACUAGAACACUUAGAGCAACUGUUUCGUCAUUUGAACAAGAAGUUAAUAUUUGUUUUAGCAUUCGCUUCAAAAUAUCAAAUUAAUUUCACAUGUUAAAAGUUGCCACGUUUGACUUUUCUGCACUUUCCCGGAGCUGCUGAUGAAUCUCAUGGGGUUCAUCAGUAACCAUGGAAAUGGCUAUGUACUGUUCAGUUUGCAAGUUGACAGAUGGACCCAAAGUUAUUGUCCUUUAUGGUCAAACUUUCUGCAAACUUGGUUAGCAAGUAACUAGUUUUGUUAUUGAAAAACAACUUAAAUCUAAAAUAUUAGCCUCAUAACUUCCAGACUGAAGUACAUUUAAAAAGAAAAUCAAUAUCAGUUUCCCAAGAAAAUCACCAGGUAGCUUAUUACACAGCUAUAGACUAUUAUAUUCAUGUAAUUGUCUAAAACUUGACAAGCUCUACAAACUUGUUUUCACCUCGUUAAGUAUCGGUGAUGAAUAUAACUGAACCCUAAUGAACCUCAAAUAUUUGGUAUUUCUGCCCUAGAACUGCUCAGACACAGACCUGUGGUCAAAUGAUUGACAGGUGGUUCAGCAUGACCCCACUAAGUGUUAAUUUAUUUUAUUUUUUUUCAAUCACUGUCAGGUUAGUUUUGCCUUUUUGGUCAGGUGAUGACCAUGGUUUCAGCUCAGUCGGAAACCAUUGACUGUAUAUGAGAAAUGGACUAAGUGACUCCAAACAGGAAGGACCCGCUGGUUGCUAGAAGCCAAACUCCCAUAGACUUCUAUAGAGAAAUAAACUGCAGUUAGGGACCUGUCGCUGCUUGCUGAUGACGUCUGACUCCAACAUGGCAACAUCCAUACUGCGAAAAGAUAAGGCAACUGAAUUGACUUCAUCUCGUUUGAGCAGGAAGAAAACAGUUUUCUCUGGUUGAUGUGAUACUCACUCGGUCCAGUUCUCAGAUACAGUCAAUGCCUGAAACCAACCAGUGAGGGGUCACAUGACCAACAUGCUUCAUCCAUCUCCUGCACACCACUACACACUGUAGGAUGUUGACACAAAAAGGAAACGUGCACUUUGUGUGUGUGUUGCUUUACGUCUGAUAGAAGUCUCAGUCUGCCCGGCAGGCAGCACAUCUGAGCAAAACAGCAACUGAAACCCAAUCUUACUCAAUCCACCUUCAAAUAAACAAACUUUUUGAAAUGUAUUGCUAAAAAAUGGUCUCUUUCCCCAGAUUCCCAUAGGGCCAAAAUUGGGGGAAUCGUUUGCCUGAACACGUGUGGCAUUAGCAGAGUGAUAAAACACCAGUAAGCAGUUGCGUUUUUUGCUCAGACCUCGUGAAGGUUGAAGAAAUCCCUCAGCUCUGCAGCUCUCUGACAGCAGCACUGCAGGAAUCUGCAGCAGUGCAGCCAGAACAUGAAGAGAAUGUAAGAACCUGAGAGGCGGGCAGGGAUUUCGUCAUGCCGUCAUGCGCCUGUCGGGCAGCACGUUAGGGUUACUGUCUCUCAUGGGAAGACAAACUUGUUCUGUUUUUUUUACUAUGUGUUCCCCGUUUUUCUAAAACAAACAGAUUGUAAGAAUUUCAUCUAAACAACUUCGUGGGACUUGAUGUUGACACGGAGUGUUAUUUCUGAAGAGUAUUGGGAGGUGGAGGAGCAUGAGGAGGCCCAGAAGAGGUGGAGGUAGGAGGACAGAAGGAACACGGCUGUGCUGAAUUGGUUGGACUGCAGAGACGAGACGGUUUCCAGCGCCUUUUCGUUGUCCUGUCAGCCUGUCCGUUGCUUAGUAACUGGUGUUUUCAGUGCCAGCUGAGAUCUGGAGCCAAAAAAAACAGCUCUUAAGGAACAGGAACACAAACUAAAUGAAGACAAAAAAAUACUCCAAGUGAGCUCCACAGCAUCUGUCAGCCAGUUUGGCACAAAACCAGCCAGCGACCUCAACUCCCAUCGGUUUUCUGAACAGAAGUCAACAGCGGCCCACCCUUGGGUGGCCUGUAGGGAUUAAUGGCCCUUCUCGUUGUUGGAGGUCUCCUGUCAAACUGCUGAGCCGAACGCCUUUUGGAGCAGAAAAACAGUUUGAAGUCAGAGUAAAAACAUCUGAAGGAAAUGAAAAGCUGCUUCCCUUUGAGCUUUCUCCUGAUGGGAGAUUGGAAAGCAUUAACAUGGUUAACUUUCUUCACUGACGAAGUCACCGGAAGCAAAAAGAAAACAACGGCUGAUUUAUUUCCAAGGAGAAGACUGCUUUUUUUUGUGUGCAGCAGUUUUUAAAAAAAAGGCCAAGGUUUUUGGGUUUUGUUUGUAUGUGUGCACGAUUGAAGGAGGGGUUUUCCACGGAAGACUAAAGCCCACCAUCUCUGCAACCUUCAAUAGGAUAUUUUUGUUUUUUUUUUUUUUUUUUUUUUUUUUUUUUUUUUGCUUCUCCUAGUGGUCCACAUGGCAGCGACCCUCGCUGUAGGCAAGGUGACCAAAUCUCUGGCUCAAAGGGAACACUAACAGAAAUGGAGAAAAUAACUUUUUUUUUUCCUUAAAGCAAAAACAGCCCAACACCUCUUCAAGCAUCAGAAUUCAAUGGGAUCAAGCUAAAAAGACAAUCUGAAUUUCUAUGAAUAGGAGUUUGGGAUUUUUCUUUUCUGUUGAAGGAUUACAAUUAUCUUUAUUAUUCAUAUUCAUCUCAUACUCAUCUUUUUAGACCUAAAUGGUCAGAGAACAAACUCAAGAGUAUUUUAUUUAUUUGUCUAAACAUGUAAUUUCAAGUCAGUGUUUACUGUAAUUAUUUUAGAUAUUGUUCACAUCUUGACAGUUUUAGGAUUGAGCACCUGCACUGCAAAAAUCAACCUUCAAAAAAAUGAGCAAAGAAUUUUUUUUAAUUCUUUAAAUAAGCUAAAAAAUAAUGCAAAUGGGGUAAUAAAAAAGUCUCACUGAGAAUUAUUAUUUUAAGAAAAAACUUCUAUUCACAAAGACAUCUUAAACUAAAUUUUCUUACACUAAGAUUAUUUUGCAAUUGAAUUUUUUUUUUCUUGCAAGACAGAGAAAAGGACUUUUACUUUCUUAAGAUUCUGUUUUUGCAGUGAGCUGUGUUUUUUUUUUCAACAAUUAUUUAUUUUUUCUGGUGUUCUUUAAAUCAACACACUGUGAUAUAUUUACAUUAUUUAGGGGCAAAACGAGGUAUGAAUGAAUCAAGAGGCAGUAUUCUACCAAACUUUGCCUCAAAAGCUGCCAUCAUUCUCCUUAACAUUAUUUUUAUUUGCUUUUCUGUUCAGACAGGACUAACCUGUCCAUGUAAACUAAAAACAAGCUUCUUUAGCAGUACAUUGUGCAGAAGAUGUUUCUUUUUCUCUUUCUUUGUUCAGUCCGUCCUGGCGUUCCCACAGGUGUUACCUUUGGAGCUCUAAUAGACAACUGCAUUUUGUGUCUUUUCACCACAGCUUAAGGUGACAUAUGCAAAGUCUAGCAGCCAACAAAGAAGGACCGAAAUUUUGUCAAGAAUCCAAUUAUUUUUGCAUGAAAAACUAUUGUCGUGUGAUUUCAGUUUAGUCACAAAAAAGCCAAAAUCUGGUUUUCUUUUAAAAAUCCUUUUUCUAACAGCAGCAUUUCUUUGUUUUAUAGUUUUAGAGAACAUUAUCAGUAGUUAAACUUAUCAUAAUUUAGUUAAAUUUAUAUUAGUGGUAGAUUUAUUUUCUGGAUGGCGCUCAUAAAUCCUUUUUUUGUGUUUUUUAAGUGUAAAAUGCAAAGCAAACAAUUAAACACCACAAGUGAUCUAAUUGCAUUGCUCAUUUGGCAAAAAUUAAACCAAAUCAAAAGUCUGUGCAGGAAUAAAUAAUGCAUAAAUUAACUUUUAAACAGAUUUAUAUCAAGCCAAAUGCUGCUAACUAAUAUCUUUAUCAUCUACAUAUUCAUUAAGACGAAUGCAUUGGCAGUUUUCUAGGCAGAAAAACUGUUUACCAGCGAACAUUAAAGUAUUUACAAGC